CGUUAACGCAAAGGAGGCAGACAUGGGUAUCACACGAUCCUUGAAUGUCCUGUUGGUCAGUGCAGCGUUCGCGUUCGUCUUGUCUAUGCUCUUCAUCUGAGCGGCAAACCGGACCCUAUGACUGGAAUACCGGACUCCUGAGUGAACAGUUCAGCAAACUAAAAAAGCGCAUGUCCCGCCUGACAUGCGCUUU
rnacentral:sRNA from 1 species